AGAGUUUGAUCCUGGCUCAGGAUGAACGCUAGCGACAGGCUUAACACAUGCAAGUCGAGGGGCAGCACAGGUAGCAAUACCGGGUGGCGACCGGCGCACGGGUGAGUAACGCGUAUGCAACUUACCUAUCAGAGGGGGAUAACCCGGCGAAAGUCGGACUAAUACCGCAUGAAGCAGGGGCCCCGCAUGGGGAUAUUUGCUAAAGAUUCAUCGCUGAUAGAUAGGCAUGCGUUCCAUUAGGCAGUUGGCGGGGUAACGGCCCACCAAACCGACGAUGGAUAGGGGUUCUGAGAGGAAGGUCCCCCACAUUGGUACUGAGACACGGACCAAACUCCUACGGGAGGCAGCAGUGAGGAAUAUUGGUCAAUGGGCGCGAGCCUGAACCAGCCAAGUCGCGUGAGGGAUGAAGGUUCUAUGGAUCGUAAACCUCUUUUAUAAGGGAAUAAAGUGCGGGACGUGUCCCGUUUUGUAUGUACCUUAUGAAUAAGGAUCGGCUAACUCCGUGCCAGCAGCCGCGGUAAUACGGAGGAUCCGAGCGUUAUCCGGAUUUAUUGGGUUUAAAGGGUGCGUAGGCGGCCUUUUAAGUCAGCGGUGAAAGUCUGUGGCUCAACCAUAGAAUUGCCGUUGAAACUGGGGGGCUUGAGUAUGUUUGAGGCAGGCGGAAUGCGUGGUGUAGCGGUGAAAUGCUUAGAUAUCACGCAGAACCCCGAUUGCGAAGGCAGCCUGCCAAGCCAUGACUGACGCUGAUGCACGAAAGCGUGGGGAUCAAACAGGAUUAGAUACCCUGGUAGUCCACGCAGUAAACGAUGAUCACUAGCUGUUUGCGAUACAUUGUAAGCGGCACAGCGAAAGCGUUAAGUGAUCCACCUGGGGAGUACGCCGGCAACGGUGAAACUCAAAGGAAUUGACGGGGGCCCGCACAAGCGGAGGAACAUGUGGUUUAAUUCGAUGAUACGCGAGGAACCUUACCCGGGUUUGAACGCAUUCGGACCGAGGUGGAAACACCUUUUCUAGCAAUAGCCGUUUGCGAGGUGCUGCAUGGUUGUCGUCAGCUCGUGCCGUGAGGUGUCGGCUUAAGUGCCAUAACGAGCGCAACCCUUGCCACUAGUUACUAACAGGUGAUGCUGAGGACUCUGGUGGGACUGCCAGCGUAAGCUGCGAGGAAGGCGGGGAUGACGUCAAAUCAGCACGGCCCUUACAUCCGGGGCGACACACGUGUUACAAUGGCGUGGACAAAGGGAAGCCACCUGGCGACAGGGAGCGAAUCCCCAAACCACGUCUCAGUUCGGAUCGGAGUCUGCAACCCGACUCCGUGAAGCUGGAUUCGCUAGUAAUCGCGCAUCAGCCAUGGCGCGGUGAAUACGUUCCCGGGCCUUGUACACACCGCCCGUCAAGCCAUGGGAGCCGGGGGUACCUGAAGUCCGUAACCGCGAGGAUCGGCCUAGGGUAAAACUGGUGACUGGGGCUAAGUCGUAACAAGGUAGCCGUACCGGAAGGUGCGGCUG
rnacentral:rRNA from 1 species